UUCCCGGCUCCUCAGACUUCACCCAUCGACACAGGGUGUCAAAGAUAGUUGUUAAUAACAAGCUUUGGCCAGUUCUCUAAACAUCUUACAGAACAAUCAUCAGAACCAGACAAUCUGAAAAAAACAUUCUACUCUCUGACCCGACCCAUCUUUCUUCCUCUUCAAGCUCUUCUGGCUGAUGCUGAUUGUGUUGACCAGCUGACCAACCUUCAUAACAAAGAGGAGGCCUGCACAGAUGGUUAUGUAGUGACCCUGCUUUCCAGUUGUUCUUGUACCCCCAGAGGCUUCAAUAAUUCUGGCCUAAAUAAUUCAAUAAUUCUGAGGCUUUUUAGUAGUAAGACAUCUUAGGUGAAUAUGGCAGAGGACAUGACAUCUAUAUUUGGGUUGACUGGGGAAUCUUACACAUUAGAAGCUGUACAGAGGAGAGGAGAGAGAUAAAUAAAAUAUCCAGGGACACCUUGCCCUACCUCUUCGCCUCCCCUAAAAAAAUCACAAGGUUGAAUCUUCAGGCUCCCAGUUAACUGAGGGCUGAUCAGGAUUCACCACCUCCUCACUGCUCUCCUGAGGGUCUCAGCAAUUGCCACAGCCUAAUACUAAAGGGGGAGCAGGAGGAGGAACAGGACAGAGACAGAUGAGACCAAAGAAAAGCCCAACCCACAACACACAUGUUGCUCUACCCCAACAUGCUGCUUGCAGCUCAAACUGGUUUCCAGAAGUUGCUGCCAAACUAGUUUUUGAGCUAUCAGAAACUUUAGUGCCUUGAAAAUACUGGAUGUGCCGUGACCAUUUCCCCUCUGUUUACUUCUCCCAUUUACUGUCCAAGAUUUCAUUAUUCCCCAGAACACAAAGCAGAGACCCAAGAUCUGCUCCUCCCUCCACCCCCGAAGCAGCUCAAUACCUGAUCAAUACACACACACACUUCAGCACCAGGAGACAAGGACACCAUAUUUCUCUAAAGGCAUCAGUUAUUCCUCGAGCCAUUCACUCUCAGUCACAGGCAGCAGAGCUAUGGAAGUUGUUUCCUACCUGCUGGACAAACAUGCACCGAACAUUCUGAUCAAACACUGUGACUGCAGCUGCUGCUGGUGCACUGGGGUGGGGCAACUACUCCUACUCUUGGGGCAACCACCUACAUUCAUCUGAGGAAAGCUCUGAAAACACAAUGCAAUUGGGAACACAGAGCUGUGAAAUUCCUGCAUAAUCACUGGAACAGAUCACAUAAUACAGAGCUGUUCCAGUUCAAGCCAUCGAGAGACUAGGAAAGGAAAAUAAGAGAAAGAAAGGGCAAACCCUGAAAAGGUUCGACCAUCAGCAAGAUUUUGCCUCCCCUUCUAAACUUUUUAUUCUAAUCCAUUUCAGCAAAGCUUUACGUUAUUCUCCAUUCUGUCAACACCUUUAGCAACAGAAAAGAGCUUUGGCCUGGGGGAGGCACAUUCAUAUUAAAACCAAGGCAUUACCCCUCAUGUCAGGGGUAAUGGACUGGACUUUUCUUUCCUGCUAGAAAGCCUCCUGCAGAGGUUCAGGCUGCUCAGAGGAUGGGCACUGGCAUUACUUAUGUGCAGACAGGUUGGUGAAAACAGGUGGGACAGACCCAUCUCCAGCAGUGGCCAAAAGAGAGGGCCCAAGUGAUGCAGACACUUGGAAUUUCACCAGCCCCUGCCCUUAGGCACCCACCUUCUCAAUGGAGGACAGCUCAGCAAGGAAAAGAAGAUAGAAGAAAAUAAGACACAUGGUUGAGGGGAAAGAAUCUGAGCAAUUCAAUUUUGCAAGCAGUCUGCAUAUGGAAACUUGAAUAUCCAAUUAAGUUUGGCAAUGGCAUGGGGGUUUUACACAUAGCUGGAAUUAAUUCUUGUGCAUCUUCCUACAGAAUAUGAAGCAGCAGUGUAACUAAUUCAUGUCAGAUGGGAUACUAAAGCAUUCCCUAAACAAGAGAUUCUGGUAUAAAGCCAACAUAUAACAAAAAUAAAAUUACUGCACAAGUUCAGUAGCAGCUAUAAGUGCUUAGAUGGCACUUACGUCCAUGAAUGAUUUUUUGCUGCUCUUCUUAAUUUAAAAGGACACGAAACUCAUCCAAAACAGUAACUGGUGGUGUUCUCUAAAACCAGUUGAACUUACCAUGUUAAAAAAACGCAUCUAUUUUAAAAGAUAAGACUU